ensembl:lncRNA
GCGGCUAAACUUAGUUCACAGUAGACUUCAAGACAGGAAGCACUGUUAGAGAUGAAGGGGACAUUUCAUGAUGAUAAAGUGUCAAUCUCGGGAGUGACAUCAGCAUGAUGGCAGAGUGAGUUGUUACCUUUGUCUCUACCUCUAAGUUACACCUAAACAGACAUUCAUUAACCAACAGGGGAUUCCCUACACAGCACAACAGGACACCUGAGACAUCCACUCAGCCAUACAUCCGAAGGUGAGUGGACUGGAUCCCCAGGAAGCAGUGGAACAAGGUGAACAGACCCCUCCCCCUCCCUGGUGGCAGUGAUCCACGUUCUGGAUCCUCACACAGCAGUGGUCAUGACUGUAAGAGGAAGCAGGGGCAGCCCAGCCUGCACACAAUGCUUUCAGAGUGGUAGCCUGGCUCUGGGGAGAGUCCACCUAGCUGUGGCAAACCUGCCAUGGGAACGCUCCCCACAAAGUGGUGGUGGCUCAACCCCCACGAAGGAGUCCUGCCCUCCAAGCACAGCAGCUCAGCCACCAGCCUGCAAGCACAGAGCUGACUUUCCCAAAAGAAAAUGCCCCUCCUGCCUAGUGCAGCAGCUCAUCCAUUCCCCUGCCAAGCACAGCGGUCCCAACCACCCAAGAGUGACCCACCCGUGGAGCACAGAGGCCCUGCCUGUGUGUGCAUGACCUGCCAAGCAGCUUCAGCAAGCCCAUGCAAACACAGAGCAGCCUUACCGGCACAUCUUCCAGCAGCCUGGGCAGGGUCAGAAAACACAGCUCCUACUGCCACCCAAGUGGUGCCAGGUGGAAUCUGCAACCUGAUACUAGAACAAAUGCACCAAAAAAGGAUCAAUUCAUCAAACACCAUGAAGAACUACAGUAACACUUCAGAGCAGAAGGAAAAUGACAAGUUUCCAGAAACCAGUCCUGAACUCACAGAAAUUUACAAUCUAAAUGACAGCAAAUUCACAAUAGUUGUCAUAAAGAAACUCAAUGAGUUAUAAGAAAACUCAGAAAGACAGUUCAGUGAGCUCAGGAAUAAAAUUAAUGAGCAGAAGGAAUACUUCACCAAAGAGAAUGAAGCCCCUAAAAAAACUAUACAGGGGCCGGCCUGUGGCAGAGUGGUUAAGUUCACAUGCUCCACUUCAGUGGCCCAGGGUUUCAUUGCUUUGGAUCCUGGGCAAGGACCUAGCACCAUUCAUCAGGCCAUGCUGAGGCAGCAUCCCACAUAGCAGAAAUAAAAAGACCUACAACUAGAAUAUACAACUAUGUACUGGGGGCUUUGGGGAGGAGAAGAAAAGAAAAGAAGAUUGGUAACAGAUGUUAGCUCAGGGCCAAUCUUUAAAAAAAACUGUACAGAAAUUCUGGGUAUGAAGAACACAAUUAAUGAGACAAAAAAUAAUCUAGAAACCAUAACAAAUAGAACUGACCCUAUGGAGGAGAGAAUAGUGACCUAGAAGAUAGAAAUCUAGAAAUGCCUCAGAUGGAGGAGGAGAGAGAACUAAGAUUUUUUAAAAAUGAAGAAAUUAUUCAAGAAAUGUCCAACUCAAUUAAGAAAAGCAACAUAAGGAUUAUAAGUAUUCAUGAGGGAGCAGAGAGGGAGAGAAAAGCAGAGAGCUUGUUCAAAGAAAAAAUAGCUGAGAACUUCCCAAACCAGGGGAAAGAAGUGGCCUUACAAGUACAUGGAGCCAAUAGAACUUGUAAUUACAUCACUGCAAAAGGACUUUCUCCGAGGCAUAUAGUACUAAAACUGGCAAAAGCAAAUGACAAAGAAAAAAUAUUAAGGGCAGAAAGGCAGAAGAAAACAACCUACAAAGGAAUCUUAUCAGGCUUUCAGAGGAUUUCUCAGCAGAAGCCUUAGAGGCUAAGAGAGAAUGGAAUGAUAUAUUCAAAAUACUCAAAGACAAAAACUUUCAGCCAAGAAUACUCUAUCCAGUGAAGCUAUCCUUCAGAUAUGAUGGAGAAAUAAAAGCUUUCCCAGAUAAACAAAAGCUCAGAGAGUGUAUCACCACUUGACCUGGCUUACAAGAAACAUUGAAAGGAGCCCUCCCAUCUGAAACUAAAAAGCAAAGGUUUACAAGACCUUGAGCAAGGAGACAAAUAAACACGUAGAAUCAGAAAAUUGCAGCUCUAUAUAUCAAAAUAGGUUAGUAAACACUUAAGUAUAACAUAAAAGAUAAAAGGAAGGAAAGCACCAAAAAUAACUAUAAACACUUCAAGUUAGUCACAAGUUCAAAACACAAAAAAGAAUAAUUUGUGACAACAAUAACUCAGAAAGGGAAGAGGAAAGGGAUGGAAUCUGCUUAGGCUAAUGGAGAUAAGAGGCUAUCAGAAAAUAGACUAUCUUGUUUUUGAGAUCUUUUAUACAAACUUCAUGCAGCCACUAAAUAAAAAAUCAGAGGAUACAUAAAUCAUAAAUAAAGAGAAAACUGAAAAAAAUCACAGAAAACCACCAAACUGAAAUGUAGUCUGAGAUACAAGGGAAAAGAAAUAAUGGAAAUAUAGAACAACUGGGAAAAAAAGAGAUAAAAUGGCAUUAUUAAGCCCUCAUAUAUCAAUAAUCACUCUAAGUGUAAAUGGAUUGAACUCUGUAAUCAAAAAACACAGAGUGGCUAGACAGAUUAAAACACAAGACCCAACAAUAUGCUGACUCCAAGAAAUACAUCCCAGCUCUAAACACAAAUGUAGGCUCAGAGUGAAGAGAUGGAAGAGAAUACUCCAAGCAAAUGGCAAGCAAAAUAAAGCAGCUGUUGCCAUACUUAUAUCAGACAAAUAUCAGACUUAUAUCAGACUUCAAGGUAAAAAAGACAGUGAGAAACAAAAAGAGGCAGUAUAUAACAAGAAAAGGGCGGCUGGCCCAGUGGUGCAGCAGUUAAGUUCACACGUUCCACUUCAGUGGCCCAGGGUUUGUCAGUUUGGAUCCUGGGUGUGGACAUGGCACCACUUGGCAAGCCAUGCUGUGGUAGUCAUCCCACAUAUAAAGUAGAGGAAGAUGGGCAGGGAUGUGAGAUCAGGGCCAGUCUUCCUCAGCAAAAAGAGGAGGAUCGGCAGCAGAUGUUAGCUCAGGGCUAAUCUUCCUCAAAAAAAAAAAAAAA